AUUCGAGAUGUAAACAAACACAAUUCAUGAGUGAUGAGAGACCACGCAUGUUUAGAGAACCUUAACAGGAAAAAAUUGACCUGGGAUAAAACAUGUAUGGCUUAUUUGGCAUGGGGCAAAAAAUCUUGGAAAGAAGAAUCUGAUAUCACUAGAUGGUCUGGGGGAAGCACACAGUCAGCAUGAACCUAUCCCACCAGAGGCUGAGAGGAACAAACCAUGGCUAGAACCUGGGUCACAUGCAGUUCCGGCACUGGUAGAAACUGUUCUAAACAAGAGGUUUCAAAACAACUUAUCUCAGGUUAUUAACACAGGUAAUAUACUUGUAGCAACAUUAGCAUAUUAUAGAGGAUACAAGUGGAGUUUUUGGCUCAUCACAAAGAACCUCUCCAGACCCAAAACUUGUUUAAGAAAAUGUUUAAGGACUAGCUGCUGUUAACAAGAUGACAAGAUGGGAAACUCUUUUUGUGUUUUCUCAGCUGUGUGCUGUUUUGUCUUAUAUGUAGACUCUGUUAGUACUGUGAUGGAUACUGUACGUAUAUAUUCAGGUACAAUGUAUGUUCUAAUUUAUGCAAAGAAUCGUUGUUAAACAACUCUGGUAGGAAAAUUGUAGAGCCUUGAUUUAUAAAAAUCACUAUAUAAAGUUAAAUCUAUACAAAUGUAGUAAGAGGCAUUUU